GCCCUUAUAGCUAAGUGGUUGAGCGUCAGUCUUGUAAACUGAAUAUCCGCAGUUCAAUCCUGCGUGAGGGCA